rnacentral:sRNA from 1 species
UUGACAGCCCUGCAGACUGACGUUCUCUAUUAAUCUGUAGAACAGAUACAGGCCAGGCAGAAGCAAUGUAAGCUGCUUAUAUGCUACCCUGCUACCAUGCCUUAUCUCUGACCUGCAGGAAGACCAGCCCUAGAGAUAGGUGGCCAGUUCAGUCUCCAUGGCCCUUUCUGUGCUUCUCCUCU